rnacentral:rRNA from 1 species
UACGGGGGGCGCAAGCGUUGUUCGGAUUUACUGGGCGUAAAGGGCGCGUAGGCGGCCAGCACAAGUCAGUUGUGAAAUCUCCGAGCUUAACUCGGAAAGGUCAACUGAUACUGUGCGGCUAGAGUGCGGAAGGGGCAACUGGAAUUCUUGGUGUAGCGGUGAAAUGCGUAGAUAUCAAGAGGAACACCUGCGGCGAAGGCGGGUUGCUGGGCCGACACUGACGCUGAGGCGCGAAAGCGUGGGGAGCGAACAGG